rnacentral:rRNA from 1 species
CAGUCGCCGCGGUAAUACGAAGGGUGCAAGCGUUAAUCGGAAUUACUGGGCGUAAAGCGUGCGUAGGCGGUGAGUUAAGUCUGCUGUGAAAUCCCCGGGCUCAACCUGGGAAUGGCAGUGGAUACUGGCUCGCUAGAGUGUGUCAGAGGAUGGUGGAAUUCCCGGUGUAGCGGUGAAAUGCGUAGAGAUCGGGAGGAACAUCAGUGGCGAAGGCGGCCAUCUGGGACAACACUGACGCUGAGGCACGGAAGCGUGGGGAGCAAACAGGAUUAGAUACCCCCGUAGUCCCUGUCUCUUAUAU